CAGCAGCCGCGGUAAUACGUAGGGUGCAAGCGUUAAUCGGAAUUACUGGGCGUAAAGCGUGCGCAGGCGGUUAUAUAAGUCAGAUGUGAAAUCCCCGGGCUCAACCUGGGAACUGCAUUUGAGACUGUAUGGCUAGAGUGUGUCAGAGGGGGGUAGAAGUCCACGUGUAGCAGUGAAAUGCGUAGAUAUGUGGAGGAAUACCGAUGGCGAAGGCAGCCCCCUGGGAUAACACUGACGCUCAUGCACGAAAGCGUGGGGAGCAAACAGGAUUAGAUACCCCUGUAGUCCCUGUCUCUUAUAC
rnacentral:rRNA from 1 species